AAGGUAUAACCCCUCUACGUAGUAAGGUGCCACCUCUCACCUUGUACAUGUUGGUUCGAACAAAACAACUCCAUCCAUCAUAUUACCUUUUUGGCCCUGUCACUGGGAUGGGUCAGCUUGUUCCUUGUUAUCUAUGUGGAGUGUACAAGUAUGCAAAUGUUCUGAUAUCUGGUGUC